UUUCUUUUUGAAUUGAAAAUUUAAAUUGCAAUCACAACAUUGCAGUUGAUGGAAAAAUUUGUUAACCAGGAUCUUAUUUCUGCAGGGUCUUCGAGUUAGUCAUAAAAAGUACAAGGACAUGCGGGUUUGGCUUCUGUUUCUCGCCUUGAAGAUGCUGUGAUAUCGUUUUCUGCUCUGUUCAGAUUCUUUUCAGGUCCGGUGUAGAAGUCACAGUUUACAAUCAUAAUGCAUUUUGCCCUUUAAGCAAGCUAUUUCAUGUCACAACUCAUUUCUGAUCUAGUUGUUUUUGUGCAAUGUCCGGACUGCAUAAUGCCUCCUGCUUUAAUUAUUGUCCAAUGCUUCCGGUUAUUUGAAUUGCCCACUUCAAGAAAUGUUUUGAGUGAUGUGUGCUCAUCUGACUGUCAAUUUUACUGUGUCUAAGCCCACCUAUGCGAUGGCAAGUGGAAUUAUAUGGAAAAAUGGAAGAUGGAUUUUAUCAUGUCUCCAUGAAGCAUUUUUUAUGACCUUUGAUUAAGGGAACAUACAAACAUAGUUCAAUAUUUCCUAUCUUUUCACUUGCAGCUCCUUGUUGACUUUUCUCUUGGGAAUGUUGUGAAUGGUAAGUGCAUAUCCUGAUCAUUCAGUUCUUAAUUGUGAUAUUGCAUAUUUCUCUAGCAUGUCACUGUGGCAGAAGGCUAGCUAUAGAAAGCAUCUGUUUGACCAGACUUCGUUAAGGUGCUUUCAUUCAAGUCCAGCACUUUUGGCUAGAGGUGAUAGGCAAUUUGGUUUGAGGACUCCCAAGAGAGAAGAAUAUUCGAAGAGAGAAUAGGACCCAACCACCCAUUGAGGUUCCAUAUGUGCCACCUAAAGUGAAAACAAUGACAAAGUCCUCUGUGGCUAAAUCAAUCGACAUUUUUGCAGGCAUGGCAAUAGUCGAACUCGCCAAGCUUACUGGUGAGUCAUUAUCUUCCCUGCAAGAUAUUCCUCUGAAUGUUGGGGAGAAGGUUGAAUCAGAAUUUGAUCCUCUCAGCAUUGAUAUUGCGGAGCUUGUUGCAAUGUUGCAGGGACUUACUUUGUACCCUAUACAUC